AUCAUGAUAGCUCAGUCGGUCGAGUGUGAGACACUUAAUCUCAGGGUUGUGGGUUCAAGCCCCACAUUAGGUGAAAGAUU